rnacentral:rRNA from 1 species
AUACGUAGGGGGCGAGCGUUGUCCGGAAUGAUUGGGCGUAAAGGGCGCGUAGGCGGCCCGGUAAGUCUGGAGUGAAAGUCCUGUUUUUAGGAUGGGAAUUGCUUUGGAUACUGUCGGGCUUGAGUGCAGGGGAGGUAAGUGGACUUCCCAGGGUAGCGGUGAAAUGCGUAGAGAUUGGGAGGAACACCAGUGGCGAAGGCGACUUACUGGACUGUAACUGACGCUGAGGCGCGAAAGUGUGGGGAGCAAACAGGAUUAGAUACCCUGGUAGUCCACACUGUAAACGAUGAAUGCUAGGUGUAGGGGGUAUCGACCCCUUCUGUGCCGCAGUCAACACAAUAAGCAUUCCGCCUGGGGAGUACGGCCGCAAGGUUGAAACUCAAAUGAAUUGACGGGG